GGGGCUAUCGUCUAACGGUUAGGACACCAGGUUUUCAGCCUGAUAAUCGGGGUUCGAUUCCCCGUAGCCCUG
rnacentral:tRNA from 1 species